CCCGGUUCCGGCUCGGGCUCGGGCUCGGGUUCCGGCCCCGGCUCGGGUCCCGGCUCGGGCUCGGGUUCCGGUUCGGGCUCCGGUUCCGGUUCC
rnacentral:tRNA from 1 species